UACGUAGGUGGCAAGCGUUGUCCGGAUUUACUGGGCGUAAAGAGCGCGCAGGCGGUCGUUCAAGUCGCGUGUGAAAGCCCCCGGCUCAACUGGGGAGGGUCACGCGAUACUGAUCGACUCGAAGGCAGGAGAGGGUAGUGGAAUUCCCGGUGUAGUGGUGAAAUGCGUAGAUAUCGGGAGGAACACCAGUGGCGAAGGCGUCUACCUGGCCUGUUCUUGACGCUGAGGCGCGAAAGCUAGGGGAGCAAACGGG
rnacentral:rRNA from 1 species